rnacentral:rRNA from 1 species
AUUGAACGCUGGCGGCAGGCCUAACACAUGCAAGUCGAGCGGAGCGGCGGACGGGUGAGUAAUACCUAGGAAUCUGCCUGGUAGUGGGGGAUAACGUUCGGAAACGGACGCUCAUACCGCAUACUAUCAGAUGAGCCUAGGUCGGAUUAGCUAGUUGGUGAGGUAAUGGCUCACCAAGGCUACGAUCCGUAACUGGUCUGAGAGGAUGAUCAGUCACACGGGAACUGCGAAACGGUCAAGACUCCUACGGGAGGAAGAAGUGGGGAAUAUUGAACAAGGGGCGAAAGCCUGAUCCAGCCAGGCCGGGUGUGGGAAGAAGGUCUUCGGAUGGUAAAGCACUUUAAGUUGGGAGGCGUUACCGAAAGAAUAAGCACCGGCUAACUCGGUGCCAGCAGCCGCGGUAUAC